GAUGAACGCUGGCGGCGCGCCUAAUACAUGCAAGUCGAGCGAAUGGAUUAAGAGCUUGCUCUUAUGAAGUUAGCGGCGGACGGGUGAGUAACACGUGGGUAACCUGCCAUAAGACUGGGAUAACUCCGGGAAACCGGGGCUAAUACCGGAUAACAUUUUGAACCGCAUGGUUCGAAAUUGAAAGGCGGCUUCGGCUGUCACUUAUGGAUGGACCCGCGUCGCAUUAGCUAGUUGGUGAGGUAACGGCUAACCAAGGCAACGAUGCGUAGCCGACCUGAGAGGGUGAUCGGCCACACUGGGACUGAGACACGGCCCAGACUCCUACGGGAGGCAGCAGUAGGGAAUCUUCCGCAAUGGACGAAAGUCUGACGGAGCAACGCCGCGUGAGUGAUGAAGGCUUUCGGGUCGUAAAACUCUGUUGUUAGGGAAGAACAAGUGUUAGUUGAAUAAGCUGGCACCUUGACGGUACCUAACCAGAAAGCCACGGCUAACUACGUGCCAGCCGCCGCGGUAA
rnacentral:rRNA from 1 species